GCCAUCGGAUGUCGCCCAGAGUGGGAUUAGCUUGUUGGUGGGUAACGCUCACCAAGGCGACGAUCCCUAGCUGGUCUGAGAGGAUGACCAGCCACACUGGAACUGAGACACGGUCCAGACUCCUACGGGAGGCAGCAGGUGGGGAAUAUUGCACAAUGGGCGCAAGCCUGAUGCAGCCAUGCCGCGUGUAUGAAGAAGGCCGUUCGGGUUGUAAAGUUACUUUCAGCGGGGAGGAAGGGAGUAAAGUUAAUACCUUUGCUCAUUGACGUUACCCGCAGAAGAAGCACCGGCUAACUCCGUG
rnacentral:rRNA from 1 species